rnacentral:rRNA from 1 species
UUCUUCAAAAAAAUAUUUUAAAAAAAUUAAUUAAUCAAAAGGAACUCGGCAAAUUUAGUUGCUUCGCCUGUUUAUCAAAAACAUGGCUCUCUGUCCAUAUAAAUAUAGAGAGUCGAGCCUGCCCAGUGAAUUUUUUUAACGGCCGCGGUACUCUGACCGUGCAAAGGUAGCAUAAUCAUUUGCCUUAUAAUUGAAGGCUAGUAUGAAUGGUUUGACGAGAGCAACGCUGUCUCUUUUUUAUUUUCAAGAACUUAACCUUUAGGUGAAGAGGCCUAAAUUUUAUUGAAGGACAAGAAGACCCUGUCGAGCUUAAAAGACAUCACAGAGGUCUAUAUAUCUUUAAAUAAAUUUUCUGUUAAGCUUUUUAGUUGGGGCGACUAAGGAACAAAAAAAGCUUCUUGUUAUUAACAAACAGUUAUGUUUAGAUCCGAUAAUAGUCGAUUAAAAAAAUUAGUUACCGCAGGGAUAACAGCAUAAUCUCUCUUGAGAGACCUAAUCGAAAGAGGGGGUUGUGACCUCGAUGUUGGACUAGAAUAUCCCAAAGAUGCAG